AUGGCCAGAGGGAAAACUACUUUGGCCUCCUGGUCUCACUUUUUAAAUUCUGUUAUUUCUCUUGCAAGUGGCCGCCAGGGAAUCGCUGACCUCCGGAGUGAGAGGCUUGCUCUGAAAGGUCUUGUGCUGCUGGACGCAUACGCCAGGCACACCCACUGUAACAACCAGCACACACUGGGAUAUUCCGGGGGGGAGGAGGGGGACUUAAAAGGAGCAAGUUCACCAAGGACUUUUGUCAAAUAUGACGUCUCUGCUUGUCCCUCUUCCACUACCUGGAGCGGUGCCGUGUGCGUGAUACGCACCCACCCCAGACGGGGAGCACAGGGACCGCUUCCUCACCCUGUGGCCCAGAUACCGCUAAAGGAGAGCCGACCAGCGACCCAUCCUGAGGCCGCAGCCCUAUGUCAGGCGGGUUCAGCCCGCAGGGGUUGCUUUCACCCUGUGUCACACCUGGCCGGGGUCUGCUCUGAACCACAGGCGGUGCCUCUUCGGCCCAAAGACGCUUUUUUGUGUUGCUGUCUCCUUUCAGCACACAGGGCCAGAAACAACAUGAGGCCCUGUGGUGCUGUACAGCCAGAAAACGAAGGUACGAGUGUGGUUCCCCCCUCCUUUCAAUGCUCUUAUGAGCUAGUUGUGGCUGCUGCAGAGGCACAGCCUGUGGCAUCCAGAGAGCUGAAACCUGUGGCGAGAAGCCUGGUGUGGCUCCCCACCAACCGAGACUGGCUGCUGCUGUUCUGGGGGCAGCCAUCGCCUCGCCUUCACCCAGUUACCUGUUGUGAGACCCCUGUCAGGAGAUCUUCUCCCAAGGGCAGCAGGCAGGGCAGUCAUCGCUCACCUUGCGCACAAGGGAUCACCUCUGGUGGCUGGAAGCCUCCUUGGGGGGGUCCUGUGAAAGAGCAGAGCAGCAUCUUGCCAAACCAGUGCAAUACACACGGCGUUGGGUCCAAUGUGAGGCAAGAUUUUGGGAUCCUGGUGACAGAGACAUGCCAGGUAUGUAGGAGGAGAAAACAGUCACUGUUUAGGGGAUGGCUGUGUUGGGACGAGCCUUCUCCAACUGGUGUCCCGCAGCUGCUUUCGUUCUGGGAUGUGGCACACACAUCAGGUUUGUCAGCUGAGCUGGGCUAG
rnacentral:lncRNA from 1 species